GAACGAUCGAUGCUUUCUUCCGCGCCCCGAGAGCCGCCAUUUUUGAGAGCGGGGGAGGAGAGACAAGCAGGGGCGGCAGAGGCUCAACGGGAUGCUGACUGGGUUUUGCUUUUCGUCCCAGCCUUGUGGGGCCGGGACGGAAGAACCCAUCAAAGCCCUUCCUCCCGCCGCCUCUCCGGAAUGAGGUCUCAGCGCCCGCGCGGGACAGCACCCUUCCUCCUGCGACAGAGCCCAAGAAGAGGCCGAAACCGAGACCAUGCCUGGGAAGCUGAAGGUGAAAAUCGUGGCCGGGCGCCAUUUGCCAGUGAUGGACCGUGCUAGUGACCUGACUGAUGCCUUCGUGGAGGUAAAAUUUGGUAAUACCACCUUUAAAACAGAUGUGUACCUUAAGUCACUCAACCCUCAGUGGAACUCGGAGUGGUUUAAAUUUGAGGUGGAUGAUGAAGACUUACAAGAUGAACCUUUACAGAUCACAGUUCUUGACCAUGAUACUUACAGUGCAAAUGAUGCCAUUGGUAAAGUGUACAUUGAUAUUGAUCCUUUACUGUAUAGUGAAGCUGCAACAGUCAUCUCAGGAUGGUUUCCAAUUUAUGACACCAUACAUGGUAUCCGUGGGGAAAUCAAUGUAGUUGUCAAAGUAGACCUCUUCAAUGAUUUAAAUCGAUUUAGGCAGUCAUCAUGUGGAGUCAAAUUCUUUUGCACAACGUCUAUUCCAAAGUGCUAUAGAGCUGUGAUAAUUCAUGGAUUUGUAGAAGAACUUGUGGUCAAUGAAGACCCAGAAUAUCAGUGGAUUGAUCGAAUUCGCACACCAAGGGCGUCAAAUGAGGCCAGACAGAGACUCAUUUCAUUAAUGUCAGGUGAGCUGCAGAGGAAGAUUGGCUUGAAAGUACUUGAAAUGAGAGGAAAUGCAGUUGUGGGGUACUUACAGUGUUUCGAUCUGGAGGGCGAGUCUGGGUUAGUGGUGCGAGCCAUAGGAACGGCGUGUACUCUGGAUAAAUUAAGUAGCCCAGCAGCAUUCCUUCCUGCAUGUAAUUCCCCAUCCAAAGAAAUGAAGGAGUCUCCGCUGGUUCAUCCUCCAAGCCAUGGAUGCCGCUCGACUCACAACAGCCCAAUUCACACUGCUACUGGCUCACGACUUACUCAGAACUUCUCUGUGUCUGUUCCCACUCUCAUCUAUACUGGAAUGGGAAGUGGUAGUGCUGGAAAAGAAGGGGGGCCCUUUAAAGCUCUUUUAAGACAACAGACUCAAUCAGCGUUGGAACAGAGGGGAGGAUCGCCUCAUAGGUUCUGUAGAAGGCGGGAAUUUCCAUUUUUUACCUUGACGGCAUUUCCUCCUGGAUUCCUUGUACACGUUGGGGGUGUAGUUAGUGCACGUUCUGUGAAGCUUUUGGAUCGUAUCCACAAUCCUGAUGAACCAGAAACUCGAGAUGCAUGGUGGGCAGAAAUCAGACAAGAAAUAAAAUCACAUGCUAAAGCAUUAGGCUGUCAUGCUGUAGUGGGCUACAGUGAAUCAACUAGCAUCUGUGAAGAGGUCUGCAUUUUAUCUGCAUCUGGCACAGCGGCUGUACUGAAUCCUAGAUUUCUGCAGGAUGGCACCGUGGAAGGCUGUUUGGAACAGAGGCUUGAAGAAAAUUUGCCUACACGUUGUGGAUUUUGUCAUAUACCAUAUGAUGAACUGAAUAUGCCAUUUCCAGCUCAUCUCACAUAUUGCUAUAACUGCAGGAAACAAAAAGUUCCUGAUGUUCUGUUUACAACUAUAGACCUCCCAACAGAUGCAACAGUUAUUGGAAAAGGUUGUCUUAUUCAAGCAAGGUUAUGUCGCUUAAAAAAGAAAGCACAGGCAGAAGCAAAUGCUACAGCUAUCAGUAAUCUCUUGCCAUUUAUGGAAUAUGAAGUGCAUACUCAGCUAAUGAAUAAACUAAAACUCAAAGGAAUGAAUGCUUUGUUUGGACUAAGAAUUCAGAUCACAGUGGGUGAAAAUAUGUUGAUGGGCUUAGCGUCUGCCACAGGUGUGUAUUUAGCAGCUUUACCAACUCCUGGUGGUAUUCAGAUUGCUGGGAAGACUCCUAAUGAUGGCUCCUAUGAACAACACAUCUCUCAUAUGCAGAAGAAGAUAAAUGACACAAUUGCUAAAAACAAAGAGUUAUAUGAAAUCAAUCCUCCAGUAAGUAAAACAAACCUACAUUGUGAAUGUAUCAGUUAUUGUUUAUUAGUAUAUUUUUAGGUUAUCUUAUUGAGGACAAAAGAUUUUUUUUUCACUGUUUAGCUCUCCUUAUUACUCAUUCUUUCACCUCCCUUUAUGUCUUUGCUCAACUGUCUCCUUUUCGGGUAAGCCUACUCUAACGAUCCUAUUUAAAAAUUGUGACUUCAUUUUUGCCACUUCCUAUGACUUUUCCCUCUUUUAUUGUUUUCUAUAGCUCUUAUCUUUGUGAGUGUGUGUGUGUG
rnacentral:sRNA from 1 species